CUAAUUUAUUUUAAUCCGUUCUUUCUUUUUAAUUUCCUUUUGUUAAAAAUUUGUUUUUAGGAUUUAGUCUUUCUUAAUACCCUCAAAAAGCCAAUUAUACCCCUAAUAUACUUAAGUUUACUUAAAUUUACUUACCUUUACUUACCUUUGGCAGUUGAGAACUCCUCUCUCUCUCUUUUUCCCCCCUGUCUGCUUAAAGCAGAUUGACCGCAGCGUCGAUAUAAUCCUGGCUCAGGUCUCAUA
rnacentral:misc_RNA from 1 species